rnacentral:rRNA from 1 species
AACGAACGCUGGCGGCAGGCUUAACACAUGCAAGUCGAACGGAACCUCCGUGAUUAGUGGCUGACGGGGGUGUCACGCGUGGGAACGUACCCUUUGCUACCGAAUACUACAGGGAAACUUGAGCUAACAUCGUAUGAGCUCCACGGGGGCCAGAUUCAUCGUCAAAGUAUAGGCCCGCGUUGGAUUAGCCUGUCGGUGGGGUAAUGGCCUACCACGGCGACGAUCCAUAGCUGGUCUGAGAGGAUGAGCAGCCACACUGGGACGGAGACACGGCCGAGACUCCUACGGGAGGCAGCAGUGGGGAAUAUAGGAAAAUGGGCGCGAGCCUGAACCAGCCAGGCCGCGUGAGUGAUGAAGGUGUUAGGAUAAUAAAGCUCUUUCACCGGUGAAGAUAAUGACGGUAGCCGGAGAAGAAGCCCCGGCUAACUUCGUG